rnacentral:rRNA from 1 species
UACGUAGGGUGCAAGCGUUGUCCGGAAUUAUUGGGCGUAAAGAGCUCGUAGGCGGUUUGUCGCGUCGGCUGUGAAAACUCGGGGCUCAACCCCGAGCCUGCAGUCGAUACGGGCAGACUAGAGUGCUGUAGGGGAGACUGGAAUUCCUGGUGUAGCGGUGAAAUGCGCAGAUAUCAGGAGGAACACCGGUGGCGAAGGCGGGUCUCUGGGCCAUAACUGACGCUGAGAAGCGAAAGCAUGGGGAGCGAACAGG